UCCUAGUUGAGUGUGAAGACCUGAGGUAUCAGGGGUAGGGGUUGCUCUGCUUGUGUAAGUCCCAUAGUGUGAAGGCCAGAGAACCAAGAGAUGGUCAAGAAGAGAGAGUAAGUGUCCAAUGUCCCAGCUCAAGAAGAGAGAAUGGUGAAUUGCACUCUGAAGAGCUUCCUAAGCUUGUAAGAAAGUGAUUCUGAAAAGCUCAACAUUUUGGUAGAAUGGAGAGAUUUGACAUUGCUUCUGCUCCAAAAGCAAAAGACUUGGGAAGGGCACCCUGGGAGUUGAGAACAUCCACCACAGAGAG
rnacentral:lncRNA from 1 species